rnacentral:rRNA from 1 species
UACGUAGGGUGCGAGCGUUGUCCGGAAUUAUUGGGCGUAAAGAGCUUGUAGGCGGUUUGUCGCGUCUGCCGUGAAAAUCCGGGGCUCAACCCCGGACUUGCGGUGGGUACGGGCAGACUAGAGUGUGGUAGGGGAGACUGGAAUUCCUGGUGUAGCGGUGAAAUGCGCAGAUAUCGGGAAGAACACCCGUGGCGAAGGCGGCACUCUGGGACGGUACUGACGCUGAGACGCGAAAGCGUGGGGAGCGAACAGG